AUUGAACGCUGGCGGCAGGCCUAACACAUGCAAGUCGAGCGGAUGAAGGGAGCUUGCUCCUGGAUUCAGCGGCGGACGGGUGAGUAAUGCCUAGGAAUCUGCCUGGUAGUGGGGGAUAACGUCCGGAAACGGGCGCUAAUACCGCAUACGUCCUGAGGGAGAAAGUGGGGGAUCUUCGGACCUCACGCUAUCAGAUGAGCCUAGGUCGGAUUAGCUAGUUGGUGGGGUAAAGGCCUACCAAGGCGACGAUCCGUAACUGGUCUGAGAGGAUGAUCAGUCAAGGGGGAACUGAGACACGGACCGGACUGGGUGAGGAGGCAGCAGUGAAGUGUGAGAGACACUGGACUAAAGCGGGAUGCAGCAGUGUGGCGUGUGUGAAGAUGGUCGGAGGAUUGAAAAGCAAAGUGAGAGGGAGGGAAGAGAAGUAAGUUAAUGCAUUACUGUUUUAAGAUAAAAAAAAGAAUAAGCAAGGGCAAACUUCCGGCCAGCAGCGGCGUUAAUAGACGGCAAAGCACAGUCUGAGG
rnacentral:rRNA from 1 species